GAAAAUAUUGACUCAUCAAAAUAGACCACAUUUAGUCUUUUGCACUCCUGGGGAAAAUCAAGACGCAAAUCAGGGAACAGUUCAACGUACAUCAGGGAGUUGACACAGACUCAGCAGACAGAAUUACAGUCCUCAAGAAAUCUGGACAUGGAAAAGUAGUAGACAGUAUCCACACAGAAUAAGAGAAAACAGAUACUCAUGAAGUCAUCCAAGCAGUUCAAGGCAUGGCAAAAUGAUCAAUUACUUCAAGAGGUGAAGCAAAAGCAACAUAACCUCACAGAUGCACACUAUCAGUGUUUCUCUCAAGUGUUUGAGGUAAAUCAAUUUCAACUCAAUGUCCUUAAGAAAGCAAACACAAACAGACUUGGCAAGCCUCUAAUAUCAACACUCAAACACAUAUGCAUGUUCAAAUCAAAAGGUCUUUUAUGGAUGUAAUGGGGCCAAGGACAAGGGAGGAUAAAUAUGGAUGAGAAGCUACAAACCAAAAGAAAUAGAGGAGCAAUGGGGAACAAGUGUAAACACAGUCAAAUCACACCCAAAAACCCUCUAAUUCAAUCCUCUUCUUGACUCCUUAUUCACACAAUUUUAUUUUUUUAUUUUUUUUUUAAUUUUUCUCAUUUUUCUGUAUAUAUU
rnacentral:lncRNA from 1 species